rnacentral:rRNA from 1 species
UACGUAGGUGGCAAGCGUUGUCCGGAUUUAUUGGGCGUAAAGCGCGCGCAGGCGGACUGAUUAGUCCGGGGUGAAAUCUCACGGCUCAACCGUGAGCGGUCCCCGGAUACUGUCAGUCUUGAGGGGUCUAGAGGAGAGCGGAAUUCCCGGUGUAGUGGUGGAAUGCGUAGAUAUCGGGAAGAACACCAGUGGCGAAAGCGGCUCUCUGGGGAUCACCUGACGCUGAGGCGCGAAAGCGUGGGGAGCGAACCGG